rnacentral:rRNA from 1 species
ACCGACUGCUAUUUGGGUGAGGAUAAGCCAUGCGAGUUGAAUGGGAAACCUAAAAAUCCCAUGGCAAACUGCUCAGUAACACAUGAUCAACUUACCCUAUAGAGGAAAAUAACCUCGGGAAACUGAGGAUAAUGUUCCAUAGUUGAAUCGGCUUGGAAAAGUUUUUCAAUAAAAGGGAUAAGGAAAAUGGUUCUUAUCUGCUAUAGGAUAGGAUCGUGCUCGAUUAUGGUUGUUGGUGAGGUAAAGGCUCACCAAGCCGAUAAUCGAUAGGGGCCGUGAGAGCGGGAGCCACGAGAUGGGUACUGAGACAACGACCCAGGCCUUACGAGGCGCAGCAGGCGCGAAACCUCCGCAAUACACGAAAGUGUGACGGGGUUACCCAAAGUGUUCUAUUUAGAACUGUGGUAGGUGAGUAAUGUCCCCUACUAGAAAGGAGAGGGCAAGGCUGGUGCCAGCCGCCGCGGUAAAACCAGCUCUUCAAGUGGUCGGGAUAAUUAUUGGGCUUAAAGUGUCCGUAGCCGGUUUAGUAAGUUCCUGGUAAAAUCGGGUAGCUUAACUAUCUAUAUGCUAGGAAUACUGCUAUACUAGAGGGCGGGAGAGGUCUGAGGUACUACAGGGGUAGGGGUGAAAUCUUAUAAUCCUUGUAGGACCACCAGUGGCGAAGGCGUCAGACUGGAACGCGCCUGACGGUGAGGGACGAAAGCCAGGGGAGCGAACCGGAUUAGAUACCCGGGUAGUCCUGGCCAUAAACGAUGCAUACUAGGUGAUGGCACGGCCAUGAGCCGUGUCAGUGCCGUAGGGAAACCGUUAAGUGUGCCGCCUGGGAAGUACGGUCGCAAGGCUAAAACUUAAAGGAAUUGGCGGGGGAGCACCACAAGGGGUGAAGCCUGCGGUUC